rnacentral:rRNA from 1 species
GAUGAACGCUAGCGGCAGGCCUAACACAUGCAAGUCGAGGGGCAGCACAUAAAGUGGUUUACUACUCUUGGUGGCGACCGGCGGACGGGUGCGUAACGCGUAUGCAACCUGCCUCCAACAGGGGGAUAACGGAGAGAAAUUUCGACUAAUAACCCAUAAUAUCAGAACCGGCAUCGGUUUUGGUUGAAAAAUACGGUGGUUGGAGAUGGGCAUGAGUUGGAUUAGAUAGUUGGUGAGGUAACGGCUCACCAAGUCAACGAUACAUAGGGGGACUGAGAGGUUAGCCCCCCACACUGGUACUGAGACACGGACCAGACUCCUACGGGAGGCAGCAGUGAGGAAUAUUGGUCAAUGGGGGCAACCCUGAACCAGCCAUGCCGCGUGCAGGAAGACGGCUCUAUGAGUUGUAAACUGCUUUUACAAGGGGAUAAAUCGGUGUACGUGUACACCGUUGAAGGUACCUUGGGAAUAAGGAUCGGCUAACUCCGUGCCAGCCGCCGCGGUAA